ACCUAUCUGUGUGAAUAAGCUUUUCCCCACAUGUAGAAUCCUCCAUUGGCGAGUCAUAAAACGAGCUGGAUGAAAUCGAAUGUCCUCGUUUUCUAUAGGCAGCUACAAUGACCCUAGCCACAUCCUUAAGCAUGCUUCCUCUGGGCUUAACGAUGAUGUAAGUAUGCCGACCCAGCAAGAAAAUCGAGAUGGAGAUGAAGAAACAAAUGGUGGGAAUGGCAAAUCCGAGGGUCCAGCUUACAUUAGUUUGAACAUAAACAACACCAGUGAGAGCUAUAAGUAGUGCGACGGUGAAAGAAAGGGACGAAUACCACCAGCGCCAAUCGACAACAGACCGAGACCGGUGAAUAGAACUAGGAGCUGCCAAAGAUGUGGCUGUGGGCAAUGGCCUGAAUCUUCAACAUUGCAAUGAGGAGGUCUGAGCUGGUGGAGAGCUGCGGUGAGAGCAACAGUCCCCAUCCCCUUUUCAAAGACAAAGAAGAUUAAUUGUGAGAUAAAUGUUGAUGACUUAAACAAGGGAAAAGUAAAAGCAAUACCAAGAAUGAUGCAAUGGAGCCAUAUAGGAGGGUGCGGUAGCGGCCAAGACGAGUAUCUGCAAUGAAAGCACCGGCUAAAGUGGCAACAUUUGAGGUUCCAAUCCAAAUGUUAACCACAUUAACCACAAAAAUUCCAUUGACAUUAUAUUUGGUGCUGAGAUACACUGUGAUAUUAGAUAUCAAACUCAUGGAUGACAGCUUCUCAAAAGACUCGUUCCCUUCAAAAGAACAGAUAUUCAAAACUAAGGGAAAAGACACAGAUCAGUUUGUAAUGUAUGAUGUUUAAGUAAUGAAUGUUACCGACCGAUAAUGUAUUUGACGGCACGCCAUCCUCCGAGUUUCUGGCAAGGGGGCGGAGGAGGGUGGGAGGAGGGAAGUGGAGUUACCAAAUCCAUGGUGGCCGUGUAAAGACUGUAGGAGGGUGUGGAAGGAGGGAAAUAUCGAAAGAGUGGAGGAAAUUAGGAAUGGUGGAAAAGCUCCAAAAUAGAAGGUAGUUGUUGAGGAUUAUUGUUUUAUGAGUAUAUGCUGUUGUUUUGCAUUGAUCCUAUUUUCCCGUUUUCCACUUCCCCAUCCCCAUUUAUCACUCUUCUUCUCCCACACCAAUUCCAUGGUAUAUAUAUUAGUUAGCAUUUUUUUUUUCUUUUUUGCAAAAUUUGAAGUCUGUGAGUUUCUGAUUAUAUAGAAAAUUAAGAUGGUUUUGCACGGACAUAAUCAAAUUUAA